GACGAACGCUGGCGGCGUGCUUAACACAUGCAAGUCGAACGGAAAGGCCCUGCUUGCAGGGUGCUCGAGUGGCGAACGGGUGAGUAACACGUGGGUGAUCUGCCCCCUACUUUGGGAUAAGCCUGGGAAACUGGGUCUAAUACUGGAUAGGACCAUGCUGUAGGUGGUGUGGUGGAAAGAUUAGUUUCGGUAAGGGAUGAGCUCGCGGCCUAUCAGCUUGUUGGUGGGGUAAUGGCCUACCAAGGCGUCGACGGGUAGCCGGCCUGAGAGGGUGGACGGCCACAUGGGGACUGAGAUACGGCCCAGACUACUACGGGAGGCAGCAGUGGGGAAUAUUGCACAAUGGGCGCAAGCCUGAUGCAGCGACGCCGCGUGGGGGAUGACGGCCUUCGGGUUGUAAACUCCUUGCAGCCAUGACGAAGCCCUUGUGGUGACGGUAGUGGUAGAAGAAGCACCGGCUAACUACGUG
rnacentral:rRNA from 1 species